GCCAUACUCAAAAUGGAGGCACUCUCCAGGCCUAGUGAAGAGGAAAGUGACCCCAUUUUGGGUGUUGC
rfam:Cricetulus griseus cell line CHO-K1, whole genome shotgun sequence.